CUCUGUAUCUUUUAUAUCAGUAAAGAUUAUGUGAAUAUAUGUGCAUUCUUCUUUUCCUCCAGAGAGCCAGUUUUUAAACAUUUAGCAGCACAGCAUGGCCAUCAUCCACCUCCUAUGUGGGCUUUGCUAAAAUGUUCACCAAAGAAAACUGGAGUCUCAAGAAAAAGAGUAGGAGCUCCCAUUGUGGUUCAGCGGGUUAUGAAUCUGACGAUGUCUCUGUGGGGAUGCAGAUUCAAUUCCUGGCCUCAUUCAGUGGGUUAAGGAUCCAGCAUUGCCGCAAGCUUCGGCAUAGGUCACAGAUGCAGCUCAGAUCCAGUGUGGCUGUGGCUGUGAUGUAGGCUGACACCUGCAGCUCCAAUUCAACUCCUGGCCUGGGAAACUCCCUAUGCUGCAAGUGCAGCCAUAAAAAGAAAAAGAGUAAAACAGAUUUGCAAGAAGCAUCAGGAAUGACAGGGAAUAGAGAUUAAUCCCCAAAGCCUCUGGAUUUCCAGCUCUCUACUCCGGUUCUUCCUGGAGUCUCACGUCCAACUCCAUUCCCAAAACACCACGGCAUCUACCUUUGGAAGGUACUUUUUUUUCACCUUUAAAUGUUUCUGAAUUCAGGAUGCAUUUUACAGUCAAUGUGUUUGUAGUGAGUGCUGUGGUAUUCUGCACAGACACUCUCUUCAGGGCCAAAGCACUCGCCCCCCAUCUGCUGGAAAAUGGGGGCACCUGGCAGCUGCCUCCUUCACUGGGUACAGACCCAGGCUGCAGAGAACUGCUGCAGCCAAGGUUACAUUUCCUCUUGGGGAGGGGGGAUGCCCACAACCACUGACUGACUGGAGAUUCCAAAGCCCAGCUCCAUUGCCUCAACUUAGGACAACUCUAAAGGGCUGUUCUAGCUCCAGAGCUUCCCAAGGACCACAGGGAAUCUUAGUUGCAACUUGUUUGCGGUUGAGCUUCUUCCUUUGCCAAAUCCUGCCUUCCUCAUUUCCUAACAGAUAAUUCUCCAAGAGCCGUCUCCAGGAAACCACAAACACAUGCAUGCAGAGAAGAGAAAUGUUUUGACUGGUAGACACAGGUAUCGUGGUUCAGUUGUUAGGAGACUCUUAAAUUGGCCUGCUAGAAUUCUGUUUGUGUUUUAAUUUUAUGGCUGCACCUGAGGUAUACUCCAGUUCCAGGGCCAGGGACUGAAUCCAAGCUAUAGCUGCAACCUACGCCACAGCUGUGGCAAUGCCAGAUCCUUAACCCAGUGCUCUGGUCAGGGAUGGAAACUGCACCUCCACAAUGACCUGAGCCGCUGAAAUCAGAUUCUUAACCCACUGCACCACAGCAGGAACUCCUGGCCUGCUAGUUUUUACAUCAGUCAUUUUUGUGACUAUGGUGAUCCAGUUACUCCAGACCCUGACACUAAUCUGGUGCCACAAGUAAAAUGGAAGUUAAGGAUGCUAAAAGCUGAGAAGCAGAGCUUGGAUCCUGGUAGGUUUGUAAAUAUCAAUGGCCUUGAGAAGAUCAGGUUGAGAGACCAGUGGACAAUUCCCACUUAGAUCUUUUUCUCUUGAACUUUCCCAGUGAUCAGAUGAGGGGGUCAGGCCAUCUACCACCCCAGUCCCCAUUCCUACUUUCUUGAAUUAUUGGCUACUCUAUUUUAUUUGUCCCAAAGCUUUUGUACUGUUUUAUUGGUGGGGCAUGUAAAAUGAAUAAAAUAAAGAGUGAGUACCUGGGAGUUCCCACCGUGGCUCAGUGGUGAAGAACCCGAUGAGUAUCCAUGAGGAUGCAGGUUGGAUCCCUGGCCUUGCUCAGUGGGUUAAGGAUCCACCGUUGUUGCAAGCUGCAGUGUAGGUAACAGAUGUGGCUCAGAUCUGGUGUUGUCCUGACUGUGGCAUAGGCCAGCAGCUCCAGCUCCAGUUGGACCCUUAAUUCAGGAACUUCCAUAUGCGCAAGCGCAGCAAAAAAAAAAAAAAAAAAAAAAAAAGAGUAUAGUGCCAUGUGCAACAACAUGGAUGGACCUAGCAUAUAUUAUGCUUAGUGAAAUAAGUCGGAGAAAGACAUAUACAUACACGUUUGUAUGUAUAUGUAUAUGUUUUCAUUUACAGGUGGAAUCUGGAAAAGAAAAUGAAUGAAUAUUACAAAAUAGAAACAGACUCACAGAUAUAGAGAACAAACCAUUGGUUACAGUGUGGAGAGGGAAGGGGGAGGAAUCAUCUAAGGGGAAGAGGAUUAAGAGAUACAAACUAAUAGGUACAAAAUUUAAAAAGCUACAAGCAUAUACUGUACAGCACAGGGAAUAUGGCCAAUGUUUUAUGAUAACAUUAAAUCAAGUAUUAUCUUUAAAAAUAUUGAAUCACUAUGUUGAAACUGGUAUAAUAUUGUAAACCAAUUAUACUUCAAUUUUUUAAAAUAAAUGAAAAAUGAAUUAUAAUUUUUAAACUUUAAAAAUUAAUUAAAAGAGUCAGGAGGGGAAAAAAAAUCAAGAUUAGGAUUGAGGAAGAAAAAAAAAACAAGGACACAAAAAGUGUUAAAGGAAAUAUGGGAAAUCCUACCUGCAGCUCAAUGGAAAUAAAUCUGAAACCCAAACUAUAGGGGUGAUUUCCUAGCAAAAAUCUAAGCUACUGAAAUUGUUCAACAAAAAGUAGAAAACUGAAAUAAGCAAUUAGAAUAGUGAGAAAGAAGAGGUGAUUGUAGAUUUUCCUUUUUUUUUUUUUUUCUUUUUAGGGCCACGCCCACAGCCUAUGGAAGUUCCCAGGCUAGGGGUCUAAUUGGAGCUGCAGCUGCUGGUCUAUGCCACAGUCACAGCAACCCUAGAUUCAAUCCACAUCUGUGACCUACACAACAGCUUGCAGCAAUGCCAGAUCCUUAACCCACCGAUCGAGCCCAGGAAUCAAACCCGCAUCCUCAUGGAUACUAGUUGCAUUCUUAACCCACUGAGCCACAAUGGGAACUCCAUGGAUUUUCCAUUUUAAAAGGCACUAGAUUCAGAUGCUUUCACUGCUAAGAUCCAUGUAAUCUUUUUCCCCCCUUGGCCACACCUGCAGCAUGCAGAAGUUCCUGGGCCGGUUAUGGAACCUAUGCCACAGCAGCAACCCAAGCCACCGCAGUGACAACACCGGAUCCCUAACCACUGCACCACAUGAGAACUCUGAGAUCCAUGUAAUCUUUAAACAACAGAUAACUCAGACUUUCUGGUCUCAGAAGCCCUUUCUAUUUGUAAAAACUCUUGAGGACUACAGAAAGUCUUUGUUUAUGUGAUUAUGAUUAUCAAUAUUUAUCAUACUAAAAAUUAAAACAGAAAAAAAAUCUCAAAUUAUUAAUUCACUUCAAAAUAACAAUGACAGGAGUUCCCAUAAUGGCUUAGUGGAAACGAAUCUGAUUAGUAUCCAGGAGGACACAAGUUCAAUCCCUGGCCUCUCAGUGGGUGAAGGAUCUGGCGUUGCUGUGAGGUGUGGUGUAGGUCGCAGAUGUGGCUUGGAUCUGGCAUUGCUGUGGCUGUGGUGUAGGCAGGUGGCUGUAACUCCAAUUCAGCUGCUAACCUGGGAACCUCAUUAUGCCAUGGGUGCGGCCCUAAAAAGACAAAACAAAUAAACAAAAAAACAAAAAACAAUGACGAACACAUUAUAUCUUAAUACAAAUAAUAUGUUUUUGUGGAAAAAAAUGGUAUUUCCAAAAAAAUUUAAGGAGAAGAGUGGUGUUCUUUUACAUUGUUGCAAAUUUCUUUAAUGUCUAGCCUAAGAAAUCUGAAUUCGGGAGGAGUUCCCGUCGUGGCGCAGUGGUUAACGAAUCCGACUAGGAACCAUGAGGUUGCGGGUUCGGUCCCUGCCCUUGCUCAGUGGGUUGACGAUCUGGCGUUGCCGUGAACUGUGCGAGGUCAGGGAUCAAACCUACAUCCUCAUGGAUACUAGUCAAAUUCAUUUCUGCUGAGCCAUGACGGGAACUUCUAUCUUGAACUUAAAUGGAUCUUUUACUUCUGCAGGAUUUUGUAACAUCACGUAUUGGUCGUCUGGAAGAUAUUAGUUCACUAAUUUAUGCAGAUCUUCCAAAUAUUGACACACUAUAUUACAUAUUUUUAAAAUCACAUGGAUUAAUAUCACCUCCUCCAUUUCCUUAGAAAAGCCUUUUAAUUAUAGGAAAGACAUUAAGCUCAUGGUGGCAGAUACAAUUUACUAAUUGUAAAAUGCUAAUUUUUACUGAAAGCUCACAUUUCAUCUCUAGCAACAAAUAUUGUCAGUUCUUUGCAUUCAGUGACAGGCUCCCUUUGUUCAUUUGCAAAAAAAAAAAAAACAAAAAACAAAAAACCUCCCAAAUACCCUUAUCUGAAUAACCGCAUUCCAUUUAUUGGUCAUUCUCUAAGUAAAAGUAGUACGCCAUGAAAAAAAAAGAGCUAGUUCAGCCUGCAGUUUAAACAUUGCACUUGCUCUUCCUAAAACCGACCAUCAGAUUUCAGUAUGCAAAGAAGUGCUUUAUGUGUACUUCCUGUUUCAUCUCACAGAAUAUUAAAAAGAUGCCUACUCAUGUGGCAAGAGUUGGUAAAAUUAAUCAUUUUUACUGCUUUAUUAAGAACUUUUUAACUGAAGCUGGCUUUUGUGUGAGUGAGAGAGUGCUCAGGAAUGAACAACCCAAACAGUGGUACAGUUUUGAGCCACUGCUUUUAUUCAUGCCCUUGCAUCAGUGAACUUACCAUUGCUUUUUACCUUCAAUGCAAAUUUGACUUCUCCAAAAGUAGUAUAAAAAUUCCAUGAGUCACUUAGGCUUUUUAUGGAGUGGGAUUUCAUACAAGGAGAAAAUUAUCUUAAAGGUCCUAUGGAAGUAAACAUGUCCAAUAAUGGUCACAAAAAUGGUGAAAAAGUGUAAUGGAUUUUUGUUUCUGGUCUGACAGACUAACUGCUACACAAAGUGCUGUCUCACCAUAAACAAUUAGGAAAACAGGCAAAAUAUAUGCCACAACAGUUUUUCACAGAUUGGACAAGCAGCAGCCAAGGGCUGAAAUUCCUAAGAAAAGGGAAACCAAUGAGGUCAUCCCUAGCUCUGGAAUAUUCCUUGGAGGCAGUUUCCAGGAUACAGCACAGGUACAGGACAUGCAAGCAGAACCCAGCAGUCUCAGUGAGUUGAGGCAAAGAAUUCUUGGAAACUAAGGAAGCUUCAUUUGUGGGGCAGAAUCUGGAAGAGAAGUUUUGAGGGGGAGAUCUUAAGAAAUCUGCAGAGAAGUGUCUUCAAAUCAUGGGCUGACACUGACCUGCAUAUGUUUAGAUGAAACUCCCA
rnacentral:lncRNA from 1 species